rnacentral:lncRNA from 1 species
AAUCCAGUGGGCUGUAAUUCUACAGAAGCAUCACUGAAGGACAGAGUGGCACUACCAUACCAAAUCCUGCUUAAAUCAUGGCAGCAAAGUCUGCCGCUAGUCGUGCAUCCAAACCCAAACUCAGUUCUGCUCUUCCCAGUAUUUCCAAGGUUUCUGCUCCUGAUGCUGAUUUUAUUCUCUUAUCCUUGUUGAUAAUGAACGUAUUUAUUGUACUGGAUCUACUGAUGUUAAGAACUGACACUUGGUGGGAUGCAACGAACAGGAUGACAUGCUUUUUACAUCAAUUUCUGUGAAGGCAAUCAUUAAGAGGUGUUAAAAACCAAAGCGUAGGAGGAAAACAUCAUUUAAAAAAAAAAAAAAAACAUUUGAUAGCAGACAAACCACUCUGGGACAUAACAA